GUCUACGGCCACAUCACCCUGAACGUGCCCGAUCUCGUCUGAUCUCGGAAACUAAGCAGGGUCGGGCCUAGUUAAUACUUGGAUGGGAGACCACCUAGGAAUACCAGGUGCUAUAGGCG
rnacentral:rRNA from 1 species